rnacentral:rRNA from 1 species
CAGUAGCCGCGGGAAUACGUAGGUGGCAAGCGUUGUCCGGAAUUAUUGGGCGUAAAGGGCUCGCAGGCGGUUUCUUAAGUCUGAUGUGAAAGCCCCCGGCUCAACCGGGGAGGGUCAUUGGAAACUGGGAAACUUGAGUGCAGAAGGGGAGAGUGGAAUUCCACGUGUAGCGGUGAAAUGCGUAGAGAUGUGGAGGAACACCAGUGGCGAAGGCGACUCUCUGGUCUGUAACUGACGCUGAGGAGCGAAAGCGUGGGGAGCGAACAGGAUUAGAUACCCCAGUAGUCCCUGUCUCUUAUAC